UUGCACCGGGUGGAUGAGUGGCGAACGGGUGAGUAACACGUGAGUAACCUGCCCCUGACUUCGGGAUAAGCCCGGGAAACUGGGUCUAAUACCGGAUACGACUGCCGGACGCAUGUCUGGUGGUGGAAAGUUUUUUCGGUUGGGGAUGGGCUCGCGGCCUAUCAGUUUGUUGGUGAGGUAAUGGCUCACCAAGACGACGACGGGUAGCCGGCCUGAGAGGGCGACCGGCCACACUGGGACUGAGACACGGCCCAGACUCCUACGGGAGGCAGCAGUGGGGAAUAUUGCACAAUGGGGGAAACCCUGAUGCAGCGACGCAGCGUGCGGGAUGACGGCCUUCGGGUUGUAAACCGCUUUCAGCAGGGAAGAAGCGCAAGUGACGGUACCUGCAGAAGAAGUACCGGCUAACUACGUGCCAGCAGCCGCGGUAAUACGUAGGGUACGAGCGUUGUCCGGAAUUAUUGGGCGUAAAGAGCUCGUAGGUGGUUGGUCACGUCUGCUGUGGAAACGCAACGCUUAACGUUGCGCGUGCAGUGGGUACGGGCUGACUAGAGUGCAGUAGGGGAGUCUGGAAUUCCUGGUGUAGCGGUGAAAUGCGCAGAUAUCAGGAGGAACACCGGUGGCGAAGGCGGGACUCUGGGCUGUAACUGACACUGAGGAGCGAAAGCAUGGGGAGCGAACAGG
rnacentral:rRNA from 1 species